CCUACGGGAGGCAGCAGUGGGGAAUAUUGCACAAUGGGGGAAACCCUGAUGCAGCGACGCCGCGUGAGUGAAGAAGUAUUUCGGUACGUAAAGCUCUAUCAGCAGGGAAGAAAAAAAGUCCUUUGGACUUUGGACGGUACCUGACCAAGAAGCCCCGGCUAACUACGUGCCAGCAGCCGCGGUAAUACGUAGGGGGCAAGCGUUAUCCGGAUUUACUGGGUGUAAAGGGAGCGUAGACGGUAGCGCAAGUCUGGAGUGAAAUGCCGGGGCCCAACCCCGGAAGUGCUUUGGAAACUGGGCAGCUGGAGUGCAGGAGAGGGAAGCGGAAUUCCUAGUGUAGCGGUGAAAUGCGUAGAUAUUAGGAGGAACACCAGUGGCGAAGGCGGCUUACUGGACUGUAACUGACGUUGAGGCUCGAAAGCGUGGGGAGCAAACAGGAUUAGAUACCCGAGUAGUC
rnacentral:rRNA from 1 species